AUGGAUGACACCAACGAUGGUGGGGAGAGGGGAUCCGGUGUUGGCGUCAACCCAUCAUCUAUGCUCGGUGCUGCCAACGUCGUCCUUCAAGCCCCAUCGCCAUCCUCCUCUGGAUCUGCUCUAGGAUGCCCACCAUUUUCGAGAGAGGAAGUGUGUCCUUCCCAUGGAGUCAGAUCUGGCGUCUCCAUGGCGCGUCGUCGUCUUCCGGUGUCGUGCACGCGCGCCACCACCGCCCUGCCGCACGCCAGCAUCGCGGAGACUUGCAGCUUCAUCGAGGAGCACAAGCUGUGCGUGGAGUCGCUGUCAUUGCUGUCGCUGACGGCGAGGGCGGCGGCAGACACGCGCGUGCUGGCGCGCGCGGCGGUGCUGCUCGCGAAGCAGAAGUGCAGAACGCGACAACGACGGCGGCGUACCUGUCCCAGCUGCUGCACCCGGACGGCACGCCGUACGACGACGCAGACGACUGCACGGUCAGGUACGACAGGGUGGUGGCUACACGGCCUGCCGGAGCUGCUCGCCGCGCGCAACGGCCCUGUCAAACGCCUCUGCAACUCCUCGACGACGCCGGCGUUCUUCCUCUUCCUCGUCGGCCUCGAGGUCGACCCGGACCCGGCCUCGCUCCGCCGCACUGGCCGCACCGCCCGGCGCGAAGCUCCGGUGAUGGCACCACCCCUCCCGCUCCCGCGUCGACACCGUGGCGGCCUCGUGGCGCCGGCGCCCACCCUGCCUCCUGGCCACCACACGGCGCGGCGACGGAUCUUGGAGUGGAUCACCGCCGCAACUCCAAAGCACCUCCGCGAGAAGCAGUGCCUCGGCCACCGAGUAGGCCGCGCGCUCUGGGCGUCGCCGCCGCCGCCUGAGCAAGCCGUGACCGGGAGAAGAGAGAGGAGGGAGAGAGAGAUGGAGAGCUGACAUGUGGGCC
rnacentral:lncRNA from 1 species